AAUCAACGCUGGCGGCGUGCCUAACACAUGCAAGUCGCACGAGAAAGUGGAGCAAUCCAUGAGUACAGUGGCGCACGGGUGAGUAACACGUGAAUCAUCUACCUCCGAGUGGGGAAUAACCUAGAGAAAUCUGGGCUAAUACCGCAUAACACUUACGAGUCAAAGCAGCAAUGCGCUUGGAGAGGAGUUCGCGGCAGAUUAGUUAGUUGGCGGGGUAAUGGCCCACCAAGACGAUGAUCUGUAUCCGGCCUGAGAGGGCGCACGGACACACUGGAACUGAAACACGGUCCAGACUCCUACGGGAGGCAGCAGUGGGGAAUUUUGCGCAAUGGGGGAAACCCUGACGCAGCAACGCCGCGUGGAGGAUGAAAUCCCUUGGGAUGUAAACUCCUUUCGAUCGGGACGAUUACGACGGUACCGGAAGAAGAAGCCCCGGCUAACUUCGUGCCAGCAGCCGCGGUAAUACGAGGGGGGCAAGCGUUGUUCGGAAUUAUUGGGCGUAAAGGGCGCGUAGGCGGUUUGACAAGUCUGAUGUGAAAUCUCUGGGCUCAACCCAGAGUCUGCAUUAGAAACUGUCGGGCUUGAGUAUGGGAGAGGUGAGUGGAAUUUCCGGUGUAGCGGUGAAAUGCGUAGAUAUCGGAAGGAACACCUGUGGCGAAAGCGGCUCACUGGACCAUAACUGACGCUGAGGCGCGAAAGCUAGGGGAGCAAACAGGAUUAGAUACCCUGGUAGUCCUAGCCCUAAACGAUGAUUGCUUGAUGUGGCAGGUACCCAAUCCUGCCGUGUCGAAGCUAACGCGAUAAGCAAUCCGCCUGGGGAGUAC
rnacentral:rRNA from 1 species